GUCAUCACAGUAUCCCUAGGUCAUCACAGUAUCCCUGUCAUAGGUCAUCACAGUAUCCAUGUCAUAGGUCAUCACAGUAUCCCUGUCAUAGGUCAUCACAGUAUCCCUAGGUCAUCACAGUAUCCCUGUCAUAGGUCAUCACAGUAUCCCU